rnacentral:rRNA from 1 species
AGAGUUUGAUCCUGGCUCAGGACGAACGCUGGCGGCGUGCCUAAUACAUGCAAGUCGAGCGGACCGGAUUGGGGCUUGCCUUGAUUCGGUCAGCGGCGGACGGGUGAGUAACACGUGGGCAACCUGCCCGCAAGACCGGGAUAACUCCGGGAAACCGGAGCUAAUACCGGAUAACACCGAAGACCGCAUGGUCUUCGGUUGAAAGGCGGCCUUUGGGCUGUCACUUGCGGAUGGGCCCGCGGCGCAUUAGCUAGUUGGUGAGGUAACGGCUCACCAAGGCGACGAUGCGUAGCCGGCCUGAGAGGGUGACCGGCCACACUGGGACUGAGACACGGCCCAGACUCCUACGGGAGGCAGCAGUAGGGAAUCUUCCGCAAUGGGCGAAAGCCUGACGGAGCGACGCCGCGUGAGCGAAGAAGGCCUUCGGGUCGUAAAGCUCUGUUGUGAGGGACGAAGGAGCGCCGUUCGAAGAGGGCGGCGCGGUGACGGUACCUCACGAGAAAGCCCCGGCUAACUACGUG